GAUGAACGCUGGCGGCAUGCUUAACACAUACAAGUCGGACGGGAAGUGGUGUUUCCAGUGGCGGACGGGGGAGUAACGCGUAAGAACCUGCCCUUGGGAGGGGAACAACAGCUGGAAACGGCUGCUAAUACCCCGUAGGCUGAGGAGCAAAAGGAGGAAUCCGCCCGAGGAGGGGCUUGCGUCUGAUUAGCUAGUUGGUGAGGUAAUAGCUUACCAAGGCGAGGAUCAGUAGCUGGUCCGAGAGGCUGAUCAGCCACACUGGGACUGAGACACGGCCCAGACUCCUUCGGCGGGAGUCUGUAGAGUAGAUUCCGCAAAGCGCCAAAGCAUGACGGGACGCUGCCGCGUGGAAGUAGGUUGCCCACGUGUCGUGCACUGCUGUGCCCGGAGAAGAAUCAAUGAAGGUACCUGGAGAAUAAGCAUCGGCUAACUCUGUG
rnacentral:rRNA from 1 species